rnacentral:lncRNA from 1 species
AUCUCAGCCGCCCAGGCGCCCUCGCAGCACACGGAGCCCGCGCGCUCCCGCCCUUUCCCUCCCAGCGCUCGCAGCAGUGUUUGGGGUGCCAGGUGGCUUGGCGAACGAGAUUUUUUUUUAAGCUACAAAGAAAACUAAUACAUUCUUGAAGUGAUCACCAAAGAUCCGAGCUCGAAAGCGUUUCUCGGUAAAACACUAUGAGUGCCCUCCUUAGCGUGUUAAAAUCCCACAGAAGCCCCUGGACCAAGCAGCGGCAUCGAAGGCGAGCAGGGGCGCUUUUGUGUCCGCGGCCGCUGAACCUGCGUAGAAGCGAACCCGGACCGAUGCUGGGACCGGCGGCGGGAGGGAGGGGGAAGAAUGGCCGAGGGCUCCUACGACUUACGCUGCGAGGAGGGGCUCGGUUGUUACCCGAGAUGCUGUCGAGAUGCAGUAGAAAAUCCCCAACACCGCGGAGCGUGGAACAAGAAGUUUUAUGCGUUACACACCGAAACACAACUUGACCUGCAACCUACAAGCCUGGUUUUAAUUGAACCCCAAAAUGCUGAGUCAUGUCAUUGUUGACUCCGAAUCUGUUACGGAUCCUAAGCUUUUUUUUUUCUGCUAGUUUUCAUUAUCGGUUAGUUGAUUUCCUUCCUUUGAGGUCGAGAGUUUAAAGCAGUCCAUUGAAGUUCCCUAUUUUGCAGUGUGGUUUUAAUCAAAGUAUUUCUUAACACCCUAACUAGGUAUAUUUAAGUGAAUUGCUAUUUUGGAAGCAUUAUUAAAUUGUAAUAAUGAAUAGAACUUUUCAUCUAUAGCCUAGCUUCAGCUUUCAUUUUCUCAUAGAACUACAAAACACCCAGGUUUACUUCUUAAAAAAAAAAAAGUGAAAAUACAUCGAGUUUUCUCAGUCAUUCACAUGCAGUGUGAAUGAGUUCAUCAGAGCCUUUCCUGAGAAGUUCUGACAUCAAAUUGUCAUUGCCAUCGAAUUUGCCCUUGGUGGAGAUCUGUGCAACAGAAAUGCACAUCGCACUCCAAAGUCAGAAAAUCUUUUAUUUUUGACAAACCCC